GUAUGGGUGGUUAACAGAAGGUACGUAUCAUUUCUCAGUUGCAAUAUCAAGUGGACUUUCUGAUCUUUUUGAAUACCACAGCCAAAGCUUCUCGGGGUUCAAAUCCUGUAGCUUUCGUCAAUCCUAAAGCACAUGUCUACCCACGUCUUGCAUUAGGGACGAAAUGACAGCAACAUGGACGAGUGGGUACAACAUAAAAAUGCCUGUUGUGCAAAGUGACUUUCAAGUAGAAAGAUCACCAGCUGAAAUCGUUACCUUCAACAGAAACAAUAGGUCCUGUUUUUGUUAUUUUCUUUCUUUAUCCUUCAGUGUGACACGCAAGGCAGCAAUCCUUGGCCUCUUCAUCUGGAUGCAUCAUGCAUUGGGAUAAGUUACUUUUUGUUCACUUUCAGUCACAACCAAGAGCGUGAUUGGCCAGACACAUGAUCUUUCUAUGGCGGUAAAGACUCUGGAGGAUCAUUACUGUAUCUCUGUCUUGUCAAUGUUCCUUGUCUCUAAAUUUUUCUCUACCUUUUUUAUUGCAGACCAAUGUGUGAACAGUGACAAGGAUCACUAUUCAGGGACCUUCAAAGAAACCGUUCACGUUGUUGCAGGAAGUCACUUGUCUCUUUUUAGCAAUCUGACUCCCCAAAUGGAGCUUAGUCAGAGACUAUGACUAUUGGUUUGUCAAGUUUUUUUUUUUUUUUGAACUGAGGCUUGGUUUGGUUUGUGAAGUUGACUGCUUCAGAUCACUCAUUGCUUCUCUUUGAGUGCUAGAGGAGCAGCAACGGCCAAGUGGAUGACUCCUUCAACGUCUCUAGAGAUGUUUUGGCUUGCACUCAUGAUAAUUGAUAGCUGCGUCCCCACCACAUCAGCUUCAUGAUCGAUCUUUCUUUCUUAAAACUAGUAGCUUUUUGAGGAUUUUUAAACAUGUUUUACUCAGUGUUCUUGGACAAAAUUUCUUGAUUUAUUUAACUGCAGAGAUCAUUUCUGUACUAAUAAUUUGCCUCUCUUUGUCUGCACAAACACAACAAAGUGACCAAACAUUCAAUCAGAUAUCUCUACUUCAGGGGACUUGUCUUAUUGGUUCUCAUGUGAAAUCAUUGAUGCGAGAUCUUCAACUUUCAGUGGAGAAUGUAUGGCCAUAUAUUGAAACAUGAUCUACUGUAUGGAUCAUAAGUGCUCAGUGAAGUUCUUGAUUGUGGUGAGGAUCAGCAUGUUACAUGGUGAAGAUAAGUUAAAGGAAGUCAUACCUUUACUUACCAACACAACCAUUGAAAUCAGUAUUGGUAGAUUUGUUGAGGUAAAGCCCUGAAGAAACAUUAGGUCCAUUGUCUAAUCUAUGCACUUCAAAAUUUGUUUGACCGCCUUAAUGGCACCUAAAAGAACACUUUAACUAUAAUUAGUUUAAAGCUAAAUAGGUUACUGUUAUGUACUCCAAGUAUACAUAGUAAAUGCCUUUGUAGCUACUUGGUUGAUGGAUUCUGAAGAGUUGGUUAAUUGCACCUUGUCUAUAUUAGGUUUUUUUUGGAGGGAGAUAUACACAUUACUUGACCGCAUGAAACAAAGGAGUAGUUACCUGUUUACACUGUCAUUAAAAUUACUAAGUGAUAUUACCAACUAACUGAUGAAGUUGUUACCAAUUUACAUACUUCUCUUAAUCAGUCUACAUACUUCUCUUAAACAGUCUCCUUAGCAUUAUAAAAGUCAUCAAAUGUAGUAUGCACUACAUUGCAAGUUCACCAUAACGUGUGUAACACUAAACAUAUCAAGAACAAGGUACUUUGUUAAAAAAAACAGAUGUAAGAUAUCAGAUAUUUUAUCCUAUAUUAUAGAAAAUGUAACUGAAAAAGAUCACACUAGAAAUUUAUAAAAUAAUCUAACUUCAGGUAUUGUUUAAAAGGCAGUUUCAUCAAAUUGACUCUAUUCAAAAAUACUAACCAAUUUUAUCAUGAACAACUAAUAAUCAUUGAUUUUAGUUAAUCAUUCAUUACAAAUUCACAAUUUUCUUUGUACUUUUAGUUUCUACAAAUAUAAUAAAUAAUUAAAGAAAAUGAUAAAAUAACAUUAGAGAUAAACAUGAGAAAUCAACUGCACAGGAAAAGUGCAAUGAAAAAC